CGAUGGGGACAGCGGAGGGACAUUACCGAGUUUACAACUCCCAAACCCAAUGUGAACGUUACCAAACUGUUGCCUCGGCGGGAUCUCUGCCCCGGGUGCGUCGCAGCCCCGGACCAAGGCGCCCGCCGGAGGACCAACCAAAACUCUUAUUGUAUACCCCCUCGCGGGUUUUUUACUAUCUGAGCCAUCUCGGCGCCCCUCGUGGGCGUUUCGAAAAUGAAUCAAAACUUUCAACAACGGAUCUCUUGGUUCUGGCAUCGAUGAAGAACGCAGCGAAAUGCGAUAAGUAAUGUGAAUUGCAGAAUUCAGUGAAUCAUCGAAUCUUUGAACGCACAUUGCGCCCGCCAGUAUUCUGGCGGGCAUGCCUGUCCGAGCGUCAUUUCAACCCUCGAACCCCUCCGGGGGGUCGGCGUUGGGGAUCGGCCCUUUACGGGGCCGGCCCCGAAAUACAGUGGCGGUCUCGCCGCAGCCUCUCCUGCGCAGUAGUUUGCACACUCGCAUCGGGAGCGCGGCGCGUCCACAGCCGUUAAACACCCCAAACUUCUGAAAUGUUGACCUCGGAUCAGGUAGGAAUACCCGCUGAACUUAAGCAUAUCAAUAAGCCGGAGGAAA
rnacentral:rRNA from 1 species